AGCGAACGCUGGCGGCAGGCCUAACACAUGCAAGUCGAACGAACUCUUCGGAGUUAGUGGCGGACGGGUGAGUAACACGUGGGAACGUGCCUUUAGGUUCGGAAUAACUCAGGGAAACUUGUGCUAAUACCGAAUGUGCCCUUCGGGGGAAAGAUUUAUCGCCUUUAGAGCGGCCCGCGUCUGAUUAGCUAGUUGGUGAGGUAAAGGCUCACCAAGGCGACGAUCAGUAGCUGGUCUGAGAGGAUGAUCAGCCACAUUGGGACUGAGACACGGCCCAAACUCCUACGGGAGGCGGCAGUGGGGAAUCUUGCGCAAUGGGCGAAAGCCUGACGCAGCCAUGCCGCGUGAAUGAUGAAGGUCUUAGGAUUGUAAAAUUCUUUCACCGGGGACGAUAAUGACGGGACCCGGAGAAGAAGCCCCGGCUAACUUCG
rnacentral:rRNA from 1 species